CGGGGUGUGGUGCAGUUGGCUAGCAUUCUUGCAUGGGGUGCAAGCGGUCGCCCGUUCGAGUCGGGCCACUCCGACAA
rnacentral:tRNA from 1 species